AUUUGGGCAGGAUUUCAAGGGAGCCUGGAGCCAGGGGAGCCUGCUUUAGUCCAAUUAAGUGAAGCAGUAUCAGGUGGAAAGUAAUUCUGAGUAUUCACCAUUAUGGGGAGUUUUGUGUUUAAGCGCCUCUACGGACCUUCUUUUAAUGAAGAACUAAACUGUGGGGUCUGGAGGUGGGCUGGAGGAAGUGCUCCAAAUUGCAGCGCUGAUUCCCUGCCCCGCAGCAGGAAGGCAGACAAGGGCCUGCACUUUCCAAAAGGCUCCACCUUCCAGCUCCCUCAGGCACUCCCACAGGGCCCUGGGACUCCUCUGUGGAUAUGUCAUUUUCCCUUCCGUAAAGAUAAUGGGAACCUCGGCAGGCCUGGGGGUCUGAGAACCUGUAUCUGAAUGAUCACGGUUGGAGCCAACUCGCUGAAAUCUUCAGGGGUCUUCUUUCUACUUCCUGCCUUCUUUCUUCCUUCCCCUGUGUCAGUCUCCCGAGGCAGCAGAAGCCAAGAUGGUGAAGGUCCAUGGCAGGCCCUCGCAGCCGGGCUGACUCUUCCCCCUCCGGUGUCGGCCUCCUCAUUAGGCAUGCUCCGUGGCAGGCUGGUGUCAGAGCCGGCCGAUGCAUCAGAAUGCAGGGCAUGCCUCGGGCUCCUGGGAGGCUGCACAUUCCGCAUGAAAUAUGAAGGCAACAGCCAGCCCUGGGGAGACCCAGGGUGAAUUGACUGGAAUAGCAGGCAAGGUGGCUACUACGGGAGGGGGCCCUGCAGGGUCGGGGAGAAGACGCGGGUGCCCAUCACCUAUUUUAAAGGCACUCUUUGGUGGUGGAGGCGGGAGGCACACAGGGAGGGGACGCCUGGUUUGUACACCGUCUGGGCUGGCUCCUGACACACACAGCCCCACCCCACUCCCGCCCCGCCCCGUUCAUUCUUUCUGCAUAUGCUCCCCCUGUCCCCGUGAUUAUGGUGAUGUGCCCUUUUGAGAUAGGCAGCUGGCUGCCUCUCCCGCUGUGCUCAUCACUGAUUCUUGAGCUUCUCUUUGGGGACAACCUGAAAUCAUAAGAGCAGUCCGUGUGGAUUUCGGAAGACCUGACAG
rnacentral:lncRNA from 1 species